rfam:Aedes aegypti strain Liverpool supercont1.164 genomic scaffold, whole genome shotgun sequence.
AAAAUGGCCCUUAUAAGGGCCCCAUAUUAUUCUUCAAAAGAGUUG